UGGGCUCCGACUGCGGCUCUGAACUGACCUUUUCAAACGCAACUUAUGCCGCUUUUCCUACGCACAUGUAGCUCGACUUUGCUCGACUCGACACGACUCGACACGGUAGCAGCACGGGUCGUUUUCCACCGCAAAUAGUACCUCCUGGACGUGGGCGGGGUCGGCUGCGCGAAAGGGCCGUGACGUAUUUUUGUACGCGACGCAAACAACACAUACGCAACCCCCACAUGGACAGAACCCACAUAACAACAAUGGAGGACAUCGAUAACAUUACUAUUAUUAGCUGGCAUGUUGAAGAAGUUGAAGAAGUGGAAUAUGUUGGCUGCGGCGCUGCUAUGGCUGUUACCAGCAUGGUUGCCAUGUCGCUCUCGUGACUUCGUCACACUCUCUGGCCAAUCAGUGGCCGGCCGUCUGCCGACGUCACCUUUUAGCAUCGGCUCAGCCGCUUGGAACCUAGAGCGAGGCGGUACUAGAAAAAGCAGCCACUUCAGGUACCAGAUACCAUGUUUUCGCGGUGGAAACGCAAAAAAUGCGAGCUGAGUCGAGUCGAGUCGUGUCGAGCUGGUACCAUGCAGUGGAAAAGCGGCAUUAGUAUCAGCGUGUUGCGGGUACUGGACUGGAUGCCUGGACUCUCCUCAUGGAUAACCAGCCAGAACCCCAUCACCAUUUUAAUAUGAUGUGCAUGUAUUUACCUGUAUGUUUACCUGUAAUUGUGGCACCCAUUGCACUCCUGACCAUCCCUGGAAGAAGGGAUCCCCUACAACGCGUUUCUUCUCAAGAUUUCUUCCUUGCUGAUUUCAAGGGAGUUUUUUCUUGCCCGUGUGGGGGCAUGGGUAAAGGGGGGUGUCACAAAUAUUUGGCCUGUUAAGCCCUUUGAGACUGUCAUGGUGAUUAAGGGCUAUACAAAUAAAAUUGAAUUGAAUUGAAUUAACAGUGCAACCGUUCUGAUAGAGACAGCUCCUCCCAACUAUAACUUUUUUGAUGCAUGUAGAUCUGCAAAAAGAGGUGGAGGGGUUGCUGUUAUAUUUAAAAAUGUUUUUCAGGGGAAACAUGUUAUUUGGUGAUUUUCCAUCAUUCGAAUACCUUUGUGCUGUAUUGAAAUGCUCCCCCAGAGUUCUCCUAUUAAUUAUUUACAGGCCACCCACAAACUCUGCACAUUUUUUCGAUGACUUCACAGAAUUAUUGUCUAGCAUCUCCACAGACUUUGGCUGUCUAGUUAUAAGUGUAUAAAAAAACUUUUUACCAUUUUGGACACAUUUGAACCGUCUCAACAUGUGAAAGAGACUACUCAUUGUAAGGGGCACACUCUUAUGGAAAGCCAAGAAGGCCAC
ensembl:lncRNA